rnacentral:rRNA from 1 species
UGGGGAAUUUUCCGCAAUGGGCGAAAGCCUGACGGAGCAAUACCGCGUGAGGGAAGAAUGCCUAUGGGUUGUAAACCUCUUUUUUCAGGGAGGAAUAAAUGACGUGUACCUGAAGAAUAAGCAUCGGCUAACUCC